UUACAAAUAUUUAACCCCAUCCACAGGCUCACAGGUUAACCCUUGACCCCAAGCUGGCGGUGCUGCUUUGGGAGGUGGUGGAAGCUGUAGGAGGCAGGGCCUCAGUUGAGGAAGUGGGUCAGCAUGGCUCUGCAUUCUCAAGACACAACAAUCCAGAGGCAGUGACAUGAAUGCUUGCUCCGUGGACAGGUGGAAAAAUGACUGGGGAUAAAGGAUGGAUGAGAGCAGGACCUGCUGUCUCACAGCAGCGCCACACAGAACCCCACCUGCUGUGGAAUGCACACGAGCCAUUUUAGAGCAUGGGGGAAAUGUGGUAAAAUCCUUUAAAAUCUUCCUGACGAGUAAAUUCCUGGAAAGCAAUUAAUGUGGAAGGCUUUCAGGGACCAGAGGGAGUGGCAGAUAGCUUGAAUCCUGUUUCCUGAGUGGUCAGCCACGGACAUCACUCCAAACCAGGUAGCAAAGAGUGUGCUUUUUACAUCUCUGUUCUAGGAAGAACAUUUGCACAACUUCUAGCAACAUUCUUGGGUCAGUGGCCAUGACCCUGAGGCAAUGCUUAGCGCUACAGUGAUCGUUUGACUCCACACGGUACUACAAAAAGUGAAGCAGUGAAAGCCCUGGGCCACACCAACAAGCACGUGACAAGAGAGACGCUUGCUCAUACGACAGAGGCCUGCAUCCCUUAGGCAGAGUACUGACCAUGAUUGGAUGCGAAUGGAAGAAUGUCAACUAAGGAUUGUGUCUAUAUAGAAAAUCAUUAGCCAAACACCACAGGGCUAAUUAAUGUCAUUUGAAAUACUUUCUGUGUAUGUUGAAUAGAGUGCCGCCAUUAUCAUCUGGCCAAACGAAAUGCCUGCCCAUAAACAACAUGGAGCUAUUUAACAGGAUAGCUAAUUACAUCUCGUCUCACAGCCCCAACUGAUCCUAAGCAACAACUCCCUAAGCUGUGUUGUAGUGCAAGGUAGCCUAAGGCUCUGGGGCAGUUACUGAAUCAUGAGAUUUUACUGUUAGAACUUGUUCGGUGUGUUUAAAAACCACCAAAAUAUUGAAUGGAGUAAAGUUACUAGGGAGACCGCAGCUUGGAAAGAGGCAGAGGAGAUCAAGAUAGAGAGGGACACUUCAAAAGCCACGCUCGGGCUCACAGGCACCUGGCACGAAGCUAAGAAUGCUGGGGGAAUGGGAGGGAAAGUACCAAGCCCUGUGCUUUGCUCCAGGUCACCUGGUUCUAUGCGGCACCCUUGUGGGUGGCCUGUGGCAUCUAUGGCUGGAGGCAGCUGCAUGUGUUUCCAUGGUCUUCAGGUGGCAGGUUCUCUUUUUACCAAGCACUUUGUAUAAACUGUUCCCUUCAGCCUUCCUUCUUCACAUACAUUCUAUAGGAGGUUUAUUUUGGGCCCAAGGCGUGCUUCUCUCUGCAUUUGAUCUCAAAGCAAGCUCGUUGAAAAGAGGACCAGAGACCUAGACAAACCUUAUGGACUUGUGUCAUCCUUCUAUGUAUGCAAGAGACACAUUCCAGGUCCCCCCAUAGGCACCCAAGUUCUCACAUGCUCCGCUGUGGCAUUGCCAUAGAUCUGUACACAUCCCAGUGUGUGUAUUUUGAAUUGUCUCUAGACAAGUUUUGAUGAUAUUGCUGUGUCCAUGCCAGGGAGACAUUUGUUAAUGCUGCAUUGUGUUGGGGAUAAAGACAAGGGGAAAGCCACUCAUGCUCUGUGCAGAGGCAUUUUCAGUAAUCCCCCACCAUGGGGGAGGGAGGUCAGUUAAACCCUAGUGUCCAGGUUGGCUUUUUACUGCUGUGAUAAACACCAUGACCAAAAGCAAAUUGGGGAGAAAAGACUUCAUCUUAUGGCUUAUCGUGCAUCAUCCAGCAAGGCCAGGGCAGGAACUUGAGACAGGGACCUGGAAGGACGUACGAACUAAAGCAGAGACCAUAGAGGAAUGCUACUUACUCUCUUGCCUCCACUGCUUGUUCAUACAGCUCAGGACCACCUCCCACAACGAACUCCAUCCCCCAACCCACGUCCACCUUUAAUCAAGAGUCUUUCCUACAAACCAAUCUAAUGGAGGUAGUUUCUCAGCUGAGUGCUACUCCUCUACUAGUUUGUGUCAGGUUGACAAAUACUAACUAGCACCCUGGAUACAGCAGAUGUCAUGGAUACAAAGGGCUGGCUGCAGUGAUGGGACACUGGCCACCUUACUACCUUACUUCCUACCUACGAUGUGUCAAAGUCCAUCUCACUUUAAACCUAAAGGAGAAAAUAAUUUUGAAUAUUUUUCUUGAUUUUUUUCCCCAAAUGGGAUAUGGGAAAAAAGUACAACAUUACUGGGUCAUUAUUGUUCGUUUUCAGAACAAUGACAGAAUCUGAAAUCAUAUGGGAAAUGGACUCUGGGUUGGAACCCAGAACCUUGUCCCUCCCACUUAGGCAUGUGCUCUUACACUGAGCUACACCCUUGGCCUCAUACCUUCAUUUCUAAAAAUAAUGCCAAUGUGUAAUUGUGAGGAUUAAAGUAACAUGGAGACAAAUGAGUACACACUUCAUGUGCAUCAAAGCGGAGUCAUGCUAGGAAUUGCCUGGAGUGGACAUCUGUCUUAGGAGUUGCCAGGGAUGCUCAUAAUGACUCACAAAGUCUUCAGUGUGCUCCUUGACAUACAGUUUGUGUCACUGGUAUGGUCUUGGCCAGCUGCUCUCCAAUGUUUCCUCUAACUGGCUGCUCUCUGGACAUACCAUGAACCCCUCUGAGAACAAGCUUUUGCAGUGUAUCAGGGCCAACACCACUUGGCUUUUGAGAUGCUAUCUAUGUUUUCCAGCUACAGUGGUUUGUGACAUGCCUGGGCCUGUCCCAGUCUAUCCUAUGGAGACUGUUUACCUGCCUUUUUAAUGCUACAUACAUAUUCAGGUAAGCAGCCUGACGAUGAAUGAUGGCUGUAAGAAGCCAUUUCCAACAGUAGGUUGGGGUCUUGGUGGAUCUCAUGAUGCUCUUCUGUGGGGCUUCUGUAGACUUCAAGGACCAGUAAGCAGUUUUCACCCACAUGGGGGUAUGAGAUGUGAGAGGUGUUUUCUUGCUUUGUUCUCUUACAACUUUUCAAAUUAUAUGAAUGUAAUAAAAAGCAUACAUUAUUAAAAAUUUUAACUAGGUAUUUCACAUAUGGAGCUGUGAAGAAUUUCUUUUGGUGCCAAAAUGUCAUAAGGAAAAAAAGUAUGAGCUUUGUGAUUUGUGGACCUGCUAUGUAGGCAAUCUUUUUCAAAGUUGUAUUUUUCAAGAGGUGUUGGAACAUUUUUCUCCAUAAGGAUCACAGGUGGGAAACUCUUCAUAUACUGCUUCUACAAGUUGGAAAUUUUCCUUGUUUGAGGAUAAUGCAGAAAACAUUCAGUCCUCCAUGUUUGGUUGCUUUAUUUCUUCCUUUAGCCACAUUGCAGAGAACUUUCUAGAAAAGAAUUAAGAAUAUGCACCAAGAAACUCAUCACCACAACUGAGCACACAAUGGUGAGCAAGGUUAUCUCUAAAAUUGUACUCUAUACAUUUUUAAUACUCAAAAAGAAACAUCAAUGUGUCUCAUUUUCUAAUUUGUUAGAGAACAUGUCUGGUAACUGAUUAAACAAGCUAUAAAACACGGGGACCAAAGAGCCUCCAAGAACUUGAAAGACAUAUUACUUGGAUAAGCAAGUAACUCAUGAAAGUGAUGCUAUAGGAAAGAAUUUCUGUACAUCCUCCAUGGCUUGGUCCAAGUGAUGAGCCCUUUUCCAGUCCUUCUCAACAGACUUUAUGACCUACGUCGCCUAUUCCUCUCCUUAAUUCAUUAAACUGCAUUAAUUCAAACUAAUUAUCAUUUAAGCCUUUGACUCUAAAUUUCCUGGAUGAAAAUUUUGGAAUCUCUGAGUCAGAUGAACGUAUUACAUAAGUGCGCCCCAAGGAUUCACAAGCAGAAAACACAUCUUAGCGCUCAGUAAUGCCAGGGGACAUUCUUUUAGGGCAUCAUUCCUCCCUGAUUAUCAUUUUAUCUUCGCUCUUCAGUUGCAAGUCUUUCAUGAAGAAUUUGGGCAACGUUUUAAUUUAAAAAAAUUCCACCAUGCUACUUACAAACAUCAUUUUAAAAAACCUUUUAUUCAAUGGUAUACACAUUCAAGUAACAUUUGAAAUUUUUAAAAUAUAUGCUCAGAAGCAUGUGAACCUGCUGCUCUUGGUUAUUUACCUCACACACCCGGCUCAUGGUCACGUGCCCUUCAGGAGCCUAUUCCUGGAACCCCAUUUGGCAGUUUACCCAACAGAGCAAAAUUAAAAUUUAGAUCCUAGCCCCAAAAUGUUAUGUAACCAAAGCUUUGGUUUUUUGUGACCUUGAAGCGCUAGGUCAAGCCAAACAGCUUGAAUGUAAUUGUGUUUAACUGGAAACUCUGUGUCUGUACAUUUUUAAUGUCCCCAGAUUGCCACAUGAGACUCAGUCUUUAAAUGGGAUCCUUCUGAAGAGCAGAUUUCUUUGGGAGACAGGAUGAGCAUUCUUACAGAAUGAAUGAAGCACAGAUCCUGCUCAUUCUUCCUGUGUCCACUAUCCACACCAAAAGAAGAUCUACCCAAGUCGAAACCAUCACUCCAUCUGUUACUAUCACUCUUUGGAGUUCAGGACCCCAUCUGCUCCCAAGAGAGCAUGGUUGAAGGUCAGGGGUGGAGUCAGGAACAUUGGUUAGCAUGUUCAGCCCGAGUAGCUGCUGAGUCAGCAUCCAUUACAUCAUUUCUGCUCAUUCCCCAGGCCCUUCUCCAGGUCAUGCUGGACUCCUCCCUGCCAUGUGUCCUGCUCUUGGUGUCACCCUGUUCUUUGGCCCCAGUCUCCUCCUGCCGUCCUCAGAUGGAGGCAGACUCCAUGGAUGCCUGUCUUCUGUAUCUGGUAAACAGACACAGGAAAAUUGCUAGUUCAAAGUCAGCUAGAGCCACAAGGUCCCACUUCACAUUCUGAGUAACUGUCCCAGCUUCUGGAGAGCAAACAGAACAUGCUAAGGACCGUGACAUGGGAAGGUCAGUAGAGACAUCUAUUCUCCCAGUGAUGCUCAUACGGAAACAAUGUGUGACUGAAGUCAAAUGGAAAUACAAAAGCGUAUUUAUUCCUGGUCUAUGCAGUUCCUUGGACACCUGAUACCUCUCUCCUGCUAACAAGAGUUUCAACAAUGUUCACACACACAGAUGCCCCCAACUGGAGACAUAUCUAUAAAAAAAAUCUAUGAUGAAUUUUACUUGGAGCUAUAACAGCAAAAGUUCAAACAAUAUGCAUUCUUGAAAAACAGAAGAGUAAAAAAUAAAAGAUUACUGUAAUAUCCCAAACAAACAGAGAAGUGGUUGAUAUAUUUCUCUGAAGACUCUGGCUUGAUUCAUGUGUCCCACAGAGCACCAGGGAUCAGGUACCAAUAGGCUGGGUCUCAAGACUUUAGAGUCCCGAGGGUGCAGGGCGUGAGGAGACAAGGUUGAGCUGUAUGAAACAUAAUAGAAAACUUAAAAAUGAAACGAAGAGCGAAACAGCAGAAGUCAAGCAAAUGGCGGACACGGAGAGACACAGUAAGAAAAUGGCAACAUAUUUAGAUGUUGCUGCCUGCCGUGUGCUGUGGCUGCUGUGGCUACUGCUGUGGGACCAAGAGUGUUGUCUGGAAGGACAGAACACAGCACUGAAAAAUUUUGGUUUCAUGGAGGAAAAGAAGUUAAAGGAGAGAUGGUGUGGAGGAGAGAUGUGUGAAAAUAACAAAGGAAUAUAAAGAGUCAUCAACAAGAUCACGGGUGAGACACUGAAGUAGGAAAGCAACCCAUUCAUUCUAGAAUAAAAAUAGCAUCACACAAGUAUAAAGAAGACUCACCCCAGUGGAGAAAUGGGCCCUCUGGGCAUCAAGAAGGGGCAGGUACUUGGGAAUGCGCCCCCCCAACCCCCGAGCGCCCCAGUCUUUGUACCUUUCUGUUGACAAAGGCCCAGCUUCCCUGCAGCUCAACGAACACUUGCUGUUUGAGGCUAAACUGGGAACCAGAUGAAAAAAAGAGGAGUAACCGACCAGCAUCUAAACAAACAAGAAUAAAUUAC
rnacentral:sRNA from 1 species